CUCAGGCUCUAUGACAGCGCCUCUGGCUGUCUGGAAAGCGUGGGCCUCGGUCAUUGGGCACGAGCGGUCACGUGACAGCGGGUUCCUCCAGGCCAGCCCUGGUGGUUGAGUGAUGUAAUCACGCGGGGUCUGAAGUCUCCGUAGGUGUAGGUUUCUUGGUUAUGCUGAUGACAGGCAGUGCCCGAACUCUAGGCUGGGAGUUGUGCCAUGCUGCUGCUUUCGUGGGCUGACCAGAAAAGGGUAGAAGGAUUGACGUUUACGAAGUUUUUGAAUCAGGAGGCAAGGUCGCCUUGUGCCCCCAAAACGGUAGAAAAAGGCCUGGCAAACUGGAGAAUCGCGUCCUUACGGUGCCUACAUAUUUAUGGUAUCCUGUGUUUUCCAGUUGAAAGCUUGUGAAAAUUCGCUUUAUCCUUGAAAUACAGAAUUUUCACCAGGAUGUAUGAAGACCCUGUCCUCGAUGGAUCAGCUGGCACCACCCAGAUGGAUAAACUGGCUCAUCUGAUCUUGUGGCCCCCAUCCAGGAAGUGACUCAGUACAAGAAGACAGCUUCAACUCCCUAUGAUUUCAUCUCUGACCAAUCAGCACUCUCGGCUCACUGGCUUCUCCCAACCCACCAAUUUGUUCUUUUUUUUUUUUUGAGACCAAGUCUCGCCUGUCGCCCAGGCUGUAGUGCAGUGGUGUGAUCUCUGCUCACAGCAACCUCCGCCUCCUGGGUUCAAGGGAUUCUCCUGCCCCAGCCUCCCGAGUAGCUGGGAUUACAGGUGUGCGACUCCACGCCAGGCUAAUUUUUGCAUUUUUAGUAGAGACAGGGUUUCACCAUGUUGGUCAGGCUGGUCUCAAACUUCUGACCUCGUGACCCACCCGCCUCAGCCUCCCAAAGUGCUGGGAUUACAGGCGUGAGCCACCGCGCCCAGCCAAUUUGUUCUUAAAAACUCCGAUCCCUGAAUGCUUAGAGAGACUGAUUUGAGUAGUAAUAAAACUCUGGUCACCCACA